rnacentral:tRNA from 1 species
CAUUAAAUAGCUUACACAAAAGCAUCCAGCUUACAAUUGGAAAACGUUCCAACACGAACUUUAAUGA